GUGAGGAAUAUUGCGCAAUGGAGGCAACUCUGACGCAGCCAUGCCGCGUGCAGGAAGAAGGCGCUACGCGUUGUAAACUGCUUUUAACCGGGAAGAAACCCCAGGACGUGUCCUGGGUUGACGGUACCGGAGGAAUAAGCACCGGCUAACUUCGUGCCAGCAGCCGCGGUAAUACGAAGGGUGCAAGCGUUAUCCGGAGUCAUUGGGUUUAAAGGGUGCGUAGGCGGAGCGUUAAGUCAGUGGUGAAAUCCUGCAGCUUAACUGUAGACUUGCCAUUGAUACUGGCGCUCUUGAGUGCGCUUGAAGUGGGCGGAAUGUGCCGUGUAGCGGUGAAAUGCUUAGAUAUGGCACAGAACACCAAUUGCGAAGGCAGCUCACUAAGGCGAUACUGACGCUGAGGCACGAAAGCGUGGGGAUCGAACAGGAUUAGAAACCCGAGUAGUCC
rnacentral:rRNA from 1 species